rnacentral:tRNA from 1 species
GAGGGGAUAGCUCAGUGGUAGAGUGCAUACUUAGCAUGCACGAGGUCCUGGGUUCAAUCCCCAGUACCUCUA